AGCAGCCGCGGUAAUUCCAGCUCCAAUAGCGUAUAUUAAAGUUGUUGCAGUUAAAAAGCUCGUAGUUGAAUUUCGGAAUCAGUACGCUGGUCGUGCCUUCGGUAUGUACUGGUGUCACUGGUUUCUCCCUUCUGAAGAACCAUCAUGCCAUUCACUUGGUGUGGUGGGAAAUCAGGACUGUUACUUUGAAAAAUUAGAGUGUUUAAAGCAGGCUCGCGCUUGAAUACAUUAGCAUGGAAUAAUGAAAUAGGACGUUAAUCCUAUUUUGUUGGUUUCUAGGAUCGACGUAAUGAUUAAUAGGGAUAGUUGGGGGCAUUAGUAUUCAAUUGUCAGAGGUGAAAUUCUUGGAUUUAUUGAAGACUAACUACUGCGAAAGCAUUUGCCAAGGAUGUUUUCAUUAAUCAAGAACGAAAGUUAGGGGAUCGAAGACGAUCAGAUACCGUCGUAGUCUUAACCAUAAACUAUGCCGACUAGGGAUCGGAUGAUGUUAAUUUUUAAUGUACUCAUUCGGCGU
rnacentral:sRNA from 1 species